CCUACGGGAGGCAGCAGUGGGGAAUAUUGCACAAUGGGGGAAAGCCUGAUGCAGCGACGCCGCGUGAGUGAAGAAGUAUUUCGGUACGUAAAGCUCUAUCAGCAGGGAAGAAAAUGACGGUACCUGACUAAGAAGCCCCGGCUAACUACGUGCCAGCAGCCGCGGUAAUACGUAGGGGGCAAGCGUUAUCCGGAUUUACUGGGUGUAAAGGGAGCGUAGACGGCAGUGCAAGUCUGAAGUGAAAGCCCAUGGCUUAACCAUGGAACUGCUUUGGAAACUGUGAAGCUGGAGUGCAGGAGAGGUAAGCGGAAUUCCUUGUGUAGCGGUGAAAUGCGUAGAUAUUAGGAGGAACACCAGUGGCGAAGGCGACCUGCUAGAACAUAACUGACGCUGAUGCGCGAAAGCGUGGGGAGCAAACAGGAUUAGAUACCCUGGUAGUC
rnacentral:rRNA from 1 species